rnacentral:rRNA from 1 species
UACGUAGGGUGCGAGCGUUAAUCGGAAUUACUGGGCGUAAAGCGUGCGCAGGCGGUUAUUUAAGUCAGGGGUGAAAGCCCUGGGCUUAACCUAGGAAUUGCGCUUGAGACUGGAUAGCUUGGAGUGCGGCAGAGGGAGGUGGAAUUCCACGUGUAGCAGUGAAAUGCGUAGAGAUGUGGAGGAACACCGAUGGCGAAGGCAGCCUCCUGGGCCAGCACUGACGCUCAUGCACGAAAGCGUGGGGAGCAAACAGG